AACUGCGAAUGGCUCAUUAAAUCAGUUAUCGUUUAUUUGAUAGUUCCUUUACUACAUGGUAUAACUGUGGUAAUUCUAGAGCUAAUACAUGCUUAAAAUCUCGACCCUUUGGAAGAGAUGUAUUUAUUAGAUAAAAAAUCAAUGUCUUCGGACUCUUUGAUGAUUCAUAAUAACUUUUCGAAUCGCAUGGCCUUGUGCUGGCGAUGGUUCAUUCAAAUUUCUGCCCUAUCAACUUUCGAUGGUAGGAUAGUGGCCUACCAUGGUUUCAACGGGUAACGGGGAAUAAGGGUUCGAUUCCGGAGAGGGAGCCUGAGAAACGGCUACCACAUCCAAGGAAGGCAGCAGGCGCGCAAAUUACCCAAUCCUAAUUCAGGGAGGUAGUGACAAUAAAUAACGAUACAGGGCCCAUUCGGGUCUUGUAAUUGGAAUGAGUACAAUGUAAAUACCUUAACGAGGAACAAUUGGAGGGCAAGUCUGGUGCCAGCAGCCGCGGUAAUUCCAGCUCCAAUAGCGUAUAUUAAAGUUGUUGCAGUUAAAAAGCUCGUAGUUGAACUUUGGGCCCGGUUGGCCGGUCCGAUUUUUUCGUGUACUGGAUUUCCAACGGGGCCUUUCCUUCUGGCUAACCUUGAGUCCUUGUGGCUCUUGGCGAACCAGGACUUUUACUUUGAAAAAAUUAGAGUGUUCAAAGCAGGCGUAUUGCUCGAAUAUAUUAGCAUGGAAUAAUAGAAUAGGACGUUUGGUUCUAUUUUGUUGGUUUCUAGGACCAUCGUAAUGAUUAAUAGGGACGGUCGGGGGCAUCAGUAUUCAAUUGUCAGAGGUGAAAUUCUUGGAUUUAUUGAAGACUAACUACUGCGAAAGCAUUUGCCAAGGACGUUUUCAUUAAUCAAGAACGAAAGUUAGGGGAUCGAAGAUGAUCAGAUACCGUCGUAGUCUUAACCAUAAACUAUGCCGACUAGGGAUCGGGUGGUGUUUUUUUAAUGACCCACUCGGCACCUUACGAGAAAUCAAAGUCUUUGGGUUCCUGGGG
rnacentral:rRNA from 1 species